UCUGUAAUGAGGAUGGUGUUCUAGGGU
rnacentral:piRNA from 1 species